GACGAACGCUGGCGGCGUGCUUAACACAUGCAAGUCGAACGGUGUAGCUCCAGCUUGCUGGAGUGGAUCAGUGGCGAACGGGUGAGUAACACGUGAGCAACCUGCCCCUGACUCUGGAAUAAGCGCUGGAAACGGCGUCUAAUACUGGAUACGAGAAGGGUCCGCAUGGGCACUUUCUGGAAAGUUUUUCGGUUGGGGAUGGGCUCGCGGCCUAUCAGCUUGUUGGUGAGGUAAUGGCUCACCAAGGCGACGACGGGUAGCCGGCCUGAGAGGGCGACCGGCCACACUGGGACUGAGACACGGCCCAGACUCCUACGGGAGGCAGCAGUGGGGAAUAUUGCACAAUGGGCGAAAGCCUGAUGCAGCGACGCCGCGUGAGGGAUGACGGCCUUCGGGUUGUAAACCUCUUUCAGCAGGGAAGAAGCGAAAGUGACGGUACCUGCAGAAGAAGCACCGGCUAACUACGUG
rnacentral:rRNA from 1 species